CAGUAGAUGACGGUAGAUGACACUAGAUGACGGUAGAUGACACUAGAUGACGGUGGAUUUCACUAGAUGACGGUAGAUGACGGUAUAUGACACUAGAUGACGGUAGAUGACACUAGAUGACACUACAUGACACUAGAUGACACUAGAUGACGGUAGAUGUCAGUAGAUGACACUAGAUGACGGUAGAUGACGGUAGAUGACAGUAGAUGACCGUAGAUGAC